UACAGAAGCUGGUCUCAUGAGCACA
rnacentral:misc_RNA from 1 species